UUUUAUGGAGAGUUUGAUCCUGGCUCAGGAUGAACGCUGGCGGCGUGCCUAAUACAUGCAAGUCGAGCGAACGGACGAGAAGCUUGCUUCUCUGAUGUUAGCGGCGGACGGGUGAGUAACACGUGGAUAACCUACCUAUAAGACUGGGAUAACUUCGGGAAACCGGAGCUAAUACCGGAUAAUAUUUUGAACCGCAUGGUUCAAAAGUAAAAGACGGUCUUGCUGUCACUUAUAGAUGGAUCCGCGCUGCAUUAGCUAGUUGGUAAGGUAACGGCUUACCAAGGCAACGAUGCAUAGCCGACCUGAGAGGGUGAUCGGCCACACU
rnacentral:rRNA from 1 species